rnacentral:rRNA from 1 species
UCGAAAGCCCGCCAAUCAAAUGGACCGGCGAACUUGUCUGUACAUACUGCUGGGAGUGAUGGGAUGGUCGCGGCCUUGCUGCGUAUUGCUUUCCAUUCUCUCCUUGCGAUUAGAUGUGCACGGAUUGGAUCCUUGGGGUGACGUGCACGUUUACUCGUCAAGCAAUGAACCCCGGCGCAAGGCGCGCCAAGGAAAAUUGAAUGAGAGUGCAUGCCCUUAACUCGUUCGCGGGUGGCGUUGGCAUAUGCAAUCUUCUGUACAACUGAAUGACUCUCGGCAACGGAUAUCUUGGCUCUUGCAUCGAUGAAGAACGUAGCGAAAUGCGAUACUUGGUGUGAAUUGCAGAAUCCCGUGAACCAUCGAGUCUUUGAACGCAAGUUGCGCUCGAAGCCAUUAGGCUGAAGGCACGCCUGCCUGGGCGUCACGCGUUUUGUCACCCGCUCCCUUGUGCCUAAGUGCGCAUGUGGGGACGUGGAGGACGUUUGGCCCCCCGUUUGCUCUAUGUGGUCGGUCGGCCUAAAAGGGAGUCCCCAAGGACGGACGUCACGACAAGUGGUGGUUGCAAAAUCGUCGCGUCAUGUCUGUGGAUGCCACUGUUUGCUGCGGGUUGGCUCGUUGGCCCUAAAGGUGCUAGUGCUUGCGGCACCUCG